rnacentral:lncRNA from 1 species
GAAUGUGUUACUACGUUACCCCAAGAAAGGAACAAAACUGCACUAAAACACAAUACAAAGGAAACAAAUUUAAUCAGUUGAACCAGAAGAUAUAAUCGAUGAAAGACUGACAAAGAUUAAACGGUAACAAUAAAAACCACGCACCUAGGAUGCAAUGCCGCAAGAGAGAAAAAUGAGAGGAGGAAGACAAUGACGUUAUCAGAAACAACAAUGCAAUGCCGUAAGAGAUAAAAAGAAGAGGUGCCGCAAGCGAGAAAAAGAAGAGGUGAAGCAAGAGAAAAAGGAGAAGAGGAAGACGCGACAUCAAAAACUGAAUGUCGCGAAGAGUCUGCGGUUUAUUUAAAAUGAAAUGGGGCGUCAGUUGCUCCGGAAACCGACUUCUAUAGUCACAUAGACGUUGGGUAUCUAACUAAUAUGACAUUUAUGUUAACAUUUAAACUGACUUUUUGAAUACCCAUUAAACGUCGGUUUCGAGGGGAUCCGAAGUCUAGGAAGCUGAAUCGAUUGAUGUUUGAUUUCCUAUCAGGAACUUCACGACAGUUAUGAUGGGGCACCAACGUCUAUAAUAACUUAGACGUCGGUGCCCUUCUAGCCGACGUCUAUGUCCCUCGAGUUUGGUGAACAUAAUUAAUUACAGGCACAUAGACGUCUCUUCCCCUCAACACCGACCUCUAAAUUGUAGAAUUUUUGUCUUCCUG